CCUACGGGAGGCAGCAGUAGGGAAUAUUGCUCAAUGGGGGAAACCCUGAAGCAGCAACGCCGCGUGGAGGAUGAAGGUUUUCGGAUUGUAAACUCCUUUUGUUAGAGAAGAAAAUGACGGUAUCUAACGAAUCAGCACUUGCUAACUCCGUGCCAGCAGCCGCGGUAAUACGGAGGGUGCAAGCGUUACUCGGAAUCACUGGGAGUAAAGAGCGCGUAGGCGGGAUAGCAAGUCAGAUGUGAAAGCCUAUGGCUUAACCAUAGAACUGCAUUUGAAACUGUGAUUCUAGAGUAUGGGAGAGGUAGGUGGAAUUCUUGGUGUAGGGGUAAAAUGCGUAGAGAUCAAGAGGAAUACUCAUUGCGAAGGCGACCUGCUAGAACAUAACUGACGCUGAUGCGCGAAAGCGUGGGGAGCAAACAGGAUUAGAUACCCUUGUAGUC
rnacentral:rRNA from 1 species